rnacentral:rRNA from 1 species
UACGGAGGGUGCAAGCGUUAAUCGGAAUUACUGGGCGUAAAGAGUGCGUAGGUGGUUUAGUGUGUUAGAUGUGAAAUCCAUGGGCUUAACCUGUGAAUUGCAUUUAAAACUGCUGAGCUAGAGUGUUGUAGAGGGUGGCGGAAUUUCCAGUGUAGCGGUGAAAUGCGUAGAUAUUGGAAGGAACACCAGUGGCGAAGGCGGCCACCUGGACAAACACUGACACUGAGGCACGAAAGCGUGGGUAGCGAACAGGG